rnacentral:tRNA from 1 species
CGGGGUGUAGCUCAGGUGGCUAGAGCGCUACGUUCGGGACGUAGAGGUCGUCUGUUCAAGUCAGAUCACCCCGA